rnacentral:rRNA from 1 species
GACGAACGCUGGCGGCGUGCUUAACACAUGCAAGUCGAGCGGAGCGGCGCACGGGUGAGUAACGCGUGAGUAACUGCCCCCCUCUCUGGGAUAACGGUUGGAAACGGCUGCUAAUAACGGAUAGUGUGGUAUGACUCGCGUCCUAUCAGCUUGUUGGUGGGGUAGUGGCCUACCAAGUCGACGACUGGUAGCCGGCCUGGGAGGGCGACCGGCCACAUUGGGCUGGGCUACGGCCCAAAAUCCAACGGGAGGCAGGAGUGGGGAAUAGUGCACAAUGGGGGAAACCCUGAUGCAGCAACGCCGCGUGCGGGAUGACGGCUGUCGGGUUGUAAACCGCUUUCAGCCAUGACGCGGUAGUGGCAGAAGAAGCACCGGCUAACUACGUGCCAGCCGCCGCGGUAAUUC